rnacentral:misc_RNA from 1 species
GAAAUGCGAUAAGUAAUGCGAAUUGCAGAAUUCCGUGAGUCAUCGAAUCUUUGAACGCACAUUGCGCCCCCCGGCUUCCCGGGGGGCAUGCCUGUUUGAGUAUCAUGAACACCUCAACUCUCACGGUUCGCCGUGACGAGCUUGGACUUUGGAGGCUUUGCUGGCCUGUGGGUCGGCUCCUCUCAAAUGAAUCAGCUUACCGGUGUAUUGGUGGCGUCACAGGUGUGAUAACUAUCUACGCUUGCGGUCGCCCGCCAGACAACCUCUGCCAUCGUCGGAGGUUUGCCGGAGGCUCACAAACGUCUCCCGAGCGGAGACAGCCUUCUGAACGUUUGAUCUCAAAUCAGGUAGGACUACCCGCUGAACUUAA